UGUAAUUUUAAUGGCCUGAAUUUCUCCAAUGAAUCAGGUAAAGGCUUGCAUUAAUUCAAAUCAUGGAACAAGAUAUAGGAGAGAACUUUAUCACUGUACUGAUUAGCCUUUGUCUGCAGAACAUUAAUUUGGAUUAGAACAUCACAUUAAAAAGGGACUGAAAAAUAAAGGUCAUACAGACUGUAAUAUGUGAAUCUGAAUGAAGUAGUGAACCAAAGUGAACAGAAACUAGUAGAAUUAUGUAAUAUGGUCAAAAUGAGAAAAUUGUCAAAGAACAAAUGGAACCUUAAACUUGUGAUAUCUCCUCCUAAAGAGGUAAACAUAAAUCUCUAAGAUUAUGAGCUUCAAAGCUUGACAAGAUAAUUUACAUCCAUGAUGAAAUUUGUACUGAACAUUUUUUUUGAAGGAACAUAACAAAUAAUACCGUACAUGCUAAUUUUUAGAUGGGAGUUUCAAUCAGUUAUCAAGGGGACACAAGGCGACAGUCCAUAUUAGAACGUGCUAGUAAUAACAAAAAAUCAACCAUAGCAAAGAAGCCACAAGUCAAUAAAGAUUCAGACUUAUGGGCAGAUAACUAAACUUCUUUAAUAAAUAUAACCAUAUUGGGCGGAUAAAUAGACAUAUACUCCUACAAAUUUAUGGGGAGGGGGCGACACUGGAGAGCUCUAUCGGCGAAGACCUGGUUACUGACCAUCUUGCAGGGAGGAGAUGCAAAGCACAUGAAUAAGCAAGCCAACGGUCAACGAAACCUGACACUGAGGACCACUAGCGAUGUUGCACGACUAGUUGGCCUACUGCGAAUCGAUGACCACCCACCAAUGGAAAAAAUGGAGUGUUCCUAAGAAAAUGCAGUUACAGAGUGUUAAAUACAAGAAUACAACCACAAGUAAGCAUAUAAUGUAAAAUGUAGAUAACCUUUUUGGACAAAAGGUUCGAUCCCUGCUUUAACAAAAGCGAUAGUUUGCUGGGUACCAGCUCUUACAGGAACUGCGGAACAGAACAUAACAAGUGCAACCCAGGAUGCAAAACUCCUCAUGCAGCAAAACACAUCUAAUAACCAAGGAACGACGACACACGGCAAGUAACAUCCAUCAAAUAGAAAAAUAGUCACAGAAUGAGCCCAAGGAAAAAAAUAGGAAACAUAGCAUCAUGAAUCCCACUGAUUGCAAUGAUCUUCGGUAUGGUUCUGAGAUUGAAGGAAUGACUGGAAUGUCUCCUGAUAACUCGAGCAAUUCUGCUGGGUAGAACCAUUUAUUUUCAUAUGACCAUAUGUAAAAUCAGUAGUUGAGAAAUUAGGUGCGUCUGUAAAAACUACUUGGCAUAGUAAAAGAAGGCAACACAAAUGAACUAAGGAGAUUGUUCUUUAGUUGCAGCAGGAACUUCAGGAAAAAGAUGUGCAAAUUAGCACAAUCGGAUCAGAGAUUGCAUCUCAGAAAAGGGAAGCUGAAUCUUAUGCAAAACAAUUUUCUGUUGAGCUGGAAGGUGCAAGAAUGGAAGUACGCAAUUUGGAGAAACAUGUUGAGAUAUUGUUUAAUCAGAGAAAGCUUGCAGAAUAAAAAUAAAUAAGCUUACAGAUUUGAAGACAGUGUCAAGCGAGCAACAUGGAAGAAUAAAGGAGUUGACUGAUGAACUCAGCAUAAAAGACCAAGGUGGACUGAUGCAUCUUUCUUUAAACUGAAUUUUCUUUGGUAGCUUCUGUUUUAUGUUUGUUAGCUUUUGUAGAUUUAAAGAAAUAAAUGCCUGCAUACUCUCGGCAACGACUCCCAACAUCCAUCAUGGCUUUCCAAAAAAAAAAAUCACCUCCAAGGUUACUACAAGAAGCAUUAUCGUGAAAUUAAGGAUGUAAACUGAACAUUGAGAAGGAGACUGAUGCUAGAUGGAUCUUUUCAUACGCAGACAUGCUUAGCUUUGGCUGGACUAGUGAGGUAAUAAGCAUCCUAAUGCAGAGCUAACCUUAUUGGACAUCAUAAACUAUAUGGCAGAUAUAUAUGCAACAUAAGAUUCCAAAAUCAGUAAUUGUACAAAGAUGAAACAAACAACAAGAUAAUCAAUCAUGGCAUACCUAUCAAUAUAUCACUGUUAAGAGUCUUCUUUGAGCACAUUGUCAGUAGCAGUUCCCAUUCAGGCAUUAAAACAAACACCUCGUGGGCAAGAAAUGAGGCAGCACAGAAUGAGAUCCAAAGGGAAUUACGGAGGACAC
rnacentral:lncRNA from 1 species